UACGUAGGGUGCGAGCGUUGUCCGGAAUUAUUGGGCGUAAAGAGCUCGUAGGCGGUUUGUCGCGUCGACUGUGAAAACCCGAGGCUUAACCUCGGGCCUGCAGUCGAUACGGGCAGACUAGAGUUCGGUAGGGGAGACUGGAAUUCCUGGUGUAGCGGUGAAAUGCGCAGAUAUCAGGAGGAACACCGGUGGCGAAGGCGGGUCUCUGGGCAACAACUGACGCUGAGGAGCGAAAGCGUGGGGAGCGAACAGG
rnacentral:rRNA from 1 species